GAAACUAAUCAGGAUUCCUCAGUAGUUGUGAGCGAAGAGGGAAGAGCCCAGCACCGAAUCCCCUGUCCCCUCAAGGGAAUGGGGAAAUGUGGCGUACUGAAGUCAGCAUCACCCAGCAUGGCCCUGGGGGCCUGAGUCCUUCUGAUAGAGGCUCAGCCUGUGGAUGGUGUGAGGCCGGUAACAGUCUUCGGCCCACCAGGGCACAGUUUUCUCAGAGUCAGGUUCUUUGGGAAUGCAGCCCAAAACAUGUGGUAAACUCCAUCUAAGGCUAAAUCCCGCCAUGAGACUGAUAGCGAACAAGUACCAUAAGGGAAAGUUGAAAAGAACUUUGAAGAGAGAGUUCAACAAGGCACGAAACCGUUAAGAGAUAAUCUGAUGGGGUCCGCACCGUCCACCCGGGGGACUCAACACGGCAGUGGGUCACCCCUGCCAGCGAGGGUGCGCCUCAAACUCUCGAAUGGUGGUUUUCCUCCACGGCGGCAGGCUGCAACCAGCUCCGGUUCUACUUGGAAGGGUCAGGGGGCGAAGGUGGCUCGUGGGUGUAUGGUCCCAAACUCUACAGUGACCUCCCACCCUGACUUCACUGCUUACCACGGGCCCGCAGGCAAAUCUUACCUCUGCAUCUUCCCCCUCCGGGGGGAUGAGCCUCAACACAGCUGUCAACCAGUUCAGAAUGUCCUCAGUCCAUCGCCCGACCCCGCCAAGGGCGGGGACAGGCCCACGUUCCAAAAGGGCACUCAAAGUAUGCAGCGACGCUGGCCAACUACCCAACCCGUCUUGAAACACGGACCAAGGAG
rnacentral:rRNA from 1 species